AGUAGUGAUCGUGAAUCAUCGAAUCUUUGAACGCAACUUGCACCUUGUGACUUUGUCACUAGGUAUACUUGUUUGAGUAUCACAUUCAUCUGUCUCACCCCGUGGGGAGUGGUGGACCAAAUCGAGACGACUUGAGUGUCUUGUGGCCUUGGGUGAUAGGCCACUCACUUGAAAUGUAGGUUGUCCGUAUGCCGACAACAGCAUGCCUGAUGGGAUAACAUCCUUCAGAGGGCGCUGCGGCAAUGUACGGCGACAAGAAUGUACGUGCUUGCGUAUGGAGGGAGGAGGAGGGUCUCACUCUCACUCUCUCCGUGCAUAUACACUACAACACACACUUCACUGAUCUCAAAUCAAGUAAGGGUACCCGCUGAACUUAAGCAUAUCAAUAAGCGGAGG
rnacentral:rRNA from 1 species